rnacentral:tRNA from 1 species
GCCUUCGUGGUGUAGUGGUCAGCACGCUCGACGCGUAUUCGAGAGGUCCGUGGUUCGAGUCCCGGCGAAGGCU